rnacentral:rRNA from 1 species
AAUGGGCGCAAGCCUGAUCCAGCCAUGCCGCGUGAGUGAUGAAGGCCCUAGGGUCGUAAAGCUCUUUCGCCUGUGAAGAUAAUGACGGUAGCAGGUAAAGAAACCCCGGCUAACUCCGUGCCAGCAGCCGCGGUAAUACGGAGGGGGUUAGCGUUGUUCGGAAUUAUUGGGCGUAAAGCGCGCGUAGGCGGACUAUUAAGUCAGAGGUGAAAUCCCGGGGCUCAACCCCGGAACUGCCUUUGAUACUGGUAGUCUUGAGUUCGAGAGAGGUAAGUGGAAUUCCGAGUGUAGAGGUGAAAUUCGUAGAUAUUCGGAGGAACACCCAGUGGCGAAGGCGGCUUACUGGCUCGAUACUGACGCUGAGGUGCGAAAGUGUGGGGAGCAAACAGGAUU